rnacentral:rRNA from 1 species
CGAGCGGGCGUAGCAAUACGUCAGCGGCAGACGGGUGAGUAACGCGUGGGAAAGUACCUUUUGGUUCGGAACAACACAGGGAAACUUGUGCUAAUACCGGAUAAGCCCUUACGGGGAAAGAUUUAUCGCCGAAAGAUCGGCCCGCGUCUGAUUAGCUAGUUGGUAGGGUAAUGGCCUACCAAGGCGACGAUCAGUAGCUGGUCUGAGAGGAUGAUCAGCCACAUUGGGACUGAGACACGGCCCAAACUCCUACGGGAGGCAGCAGUGGGGAAUAUUGGACAAUGGGGGCAACCCUGAUCCAGCCAUGCCGCGUGAGUGAUGAAGGCCCUAGGGUUGUAAAGCUCUUUUGUGCGGGAAGAUAAUGACGGUACCGCAAGAAUAAGCCCCGGCUAACUUCGUGCCAGCAGCCGCGGUAAUACGAAGGGGGCUAGCGUUGCUCGGAAUCACUGGGCGUAAAGGGUGCGUAGGCGGGUUUUUAAGUCAGGGGUGAA